UACGUAGGGUGCAAGCGUUAAUCGGACUUACUGGGCGUAAAGCGUGCGCAGGCGGCUUUGCAAGCCAGAUGUGAAAUCCCCGGGCUUAACCUGGGAACUGCAUUUGUGACUGCAUGGCUGGAGUGCGGCAGAGGGGGAUGGAAUUCCGCGUGUAGCAGUGAAAUGCGUAGAUAUGCGGAGGAACACCGAUGGCGAAGGCAAUCCCCUGGGCCUGCACUGACGCUCAUGCACGAAAGCGUGGGGAGCAAACAGG
rnacentral:rRNA from 1 species